UCCUUUUAAUGAGCGGACGGCAGCGCCAUUUUAUUGUAUCUCUAGUGCACCGGCGGCUUCCCCGUAGCACUCAACUGCGCCUACACGCCCUCUGCACGUGAGCUGCUCACUGCCUCUCUCUCUUUAACGCGGUGUCCACCUUCACGGGCACAGGCCCAACACCGUGUCGUUCACACUUACCUGCUUUGCUUUCCCUUCUGCUGACAUUUCGCUGUGUAUUCUUUCGUUGACCACACCCGCGCUACGUGCCCCGGCGAAGUCGUUCAUCUGCACCGCAGCGCCCCUCCUUUUGGCUCGCUCCGUCGUCCCUUAUUUUGUCCCGACGCCCGCACCCGCUCUCUCACGGAGGCCACACUCAUGUCGUGCGCGGACGUGCGCCAGAAGGUGUUUCGCGUGCCGGGUAGCAUCGUGCUGUCGGUUGGGCUCUCGUGGGACUUUAUCGGCGCCGACCCGGUCGACCUCGACCUCAGCGCCGUCUGCUUCACGAAGGAGGGCCGCUUUCUGGACGUUGUCUUUUUCAACCACCUCUUCCCAGAAGGCACCGAUGAGACGGCGCUGCGGGCACACCACAUGGUGGACCCCGAGCUGCUGCCCUACAUGUUUCUGAGCGGCGACAGUACAGUCGGCGGCGAGGAUGAGAAUCAGUUACCCGGCCUCGCACUCGCCGCAGGGCGGCGCCACCAGCAGCUGCGGCGGAGAGCAAGGCAUCAGGCGACGGCGCGCGGUGGCAUGUUGGGCACGCGCGACUACACAAACGCCGCAGCGAAUGUGUUUGAUCGCCUCUACGAGGAGGAGCAGCUUGCGGACGUGCAGCGCGCAGCGGAUGAGGCGAUCGGCUAUGACGAGGAUACCGCUGAUGAUGAGGUGGGUGCGGGUCAGCGACCUUUACGGCGUCGUCCGUGCCGUCAUCGCGAGCUUGCCGACGAGGUUCUCACGUUCGUCAUGAGCAAGAUACCGGGUGAGGCGGAUGUCAUCUUCAUCACCGUGUCGAGCUACACGGGCCAAGACUUCACGGUGCUGUCGCGGGCGAAGUUGAUCGUCUACAACGAAUCCACAAGCGAGCGCGUCGGCGUGAUGGACGUGAGGCAGACGACGGAAAACGGCACAGCGAACCUGGCCGCCAUGCUGAUUCGUCUGCCACCGUCGCAAGAGGAGGAGGGGGUGGACGGCACAGAUUGGGGCAGCGUGCACGGCGGCGCCGCAGCGCAGGAGUGGGAUUUGCGGGAGCUCAACGUGCGCACGUUCGGCUACUCCUUUGUCGACACGCUGCCCCUCAUGAUGGACGUGCUUGGCGUGCCGCGCCGGUCACUGCUGGACGUCCUGCAGAACGUGCCGGACUACUCCUUGUCAAAGGUGAAGGCGGGGAUCGCGUCGUGGACACUGUCCGACGUGCGCCUUGGCGUGGGCUGGAGCGGCGAGCACGACAUCGACGCCUUCCUCGUCUUCCUCGACGAAAACCACAACUACGUCGACCACCUGUAUCCGAAGAACGGGAAGCUGCGGUCGAUGGCGCGGGACGCGGCUCGGCACUCCGGCGACGCGCUUUGCGGCUCCAACGCGGCCGGGGAUGAGGAGUUCAUUGAUCUGCUGACGUACCGUGUGCCGGGCAACGUGAGCAGCAUCGUCGUCGGUGCCACAUGGAUGGAGUCGUUCGGCCCCGAAAAGCGGACGUGCAAGUCCAUCUUCGACGUGCCGGACCUGUACCUGCGCCUGCAAAACCGCACCGUGAUGAAUCCGCAUUCCAUGGAGGUCGAUCGCUGGCCGCUCAACCGCGAAGCUCACGACCCGAAGGUCAAGAAGCAGCUACCGACCUCUUACAAGGACGCCGAGAACAAGGAGCAGCCAGUGCGUGCGGUGGUGCUGGGCGCGUUGGUGAAGACUGGCACGCAGCCCUUUGGAGCUCUCUUCCCCAACGGCCGCCGUAUUGAUCAGUACUUUCACAAGCACGGCCGCCCUCUUUCGGUCAGCGGCACCGGCCAGACUCGUAGCGCCUCUGUGACGUCUCGCGCUGACGACGGCGGCGGUGUCGCCAUGUCGGAGUUCGAGGCGGAUCGCGAGGAGGAGGUCCCGCUGUUUCAGUUGGUACCCAUCCACCAGUAUGUCCCGGUCGACCCACGUGAGGGCCUGUCACGCGUGAUCCCGUACUUGCAGUGCAUGAUGGCCUAUGCUGCAACGGUCGAGCGCCACACAAUCGCGGCGGCGCGCCGUCGCGUCGCCGAAGCCGAGGCUGCCCGUCGCGGUAACGCGACGCCGUACUCCGGCGGGGAGAGCAGUGAGGCUGCUCCGCUGGACACGACGGCCGGUACCGCAGACACGCGUCUCGUGCUGAGCCGCGAAAACAACAUGGUGGGCUGGAACCCCGCUACCAGCGCCUCCCUGCGGCGUGGCGGACGUGGCGAGACGACGGUCAAGGCUGCGCGAGAGCAGGCUGCGAGCGACACGGCAGAAACCACGGUGCUGCGCGAUCGUUAUGAGUGCAUGUGGUCAAAGAUGAAGCACUACGACAACCGUACCGACCUUUUCGCGAUUGCCGUACAGUUCUUGGAAGUCGUGGAGGUGCAGCCGCAGAUGCCGGAUCGCUUCCGGUGCCACGGCGAGGCGUGGGUAUUUGGGCAGACCAACUGCAUCGUUCCGGCGCGCGGCAGCGUCUCCGUCUUUGACAACAAGCCGUACCGAUCCCCGGUCCUCGUGGAUCGCGAGAAGCUCGCGUGGGCAGAUGCCAGCAGCAGCAGCAGCGGCUGCGGCUACUUCAUUGUGCACAAGUAUGACAGACUGCGCGUUAUGCUCUUCGAGACGGCGUCCGUCGGCGUGGCAGACUUGGACCUCCUUUCCAUGGACGCCUUGUGGGCCGGCAAGGACAACGUCCGAGAGGGUACUCUCGCAGAUCGAUUCAACCCCGUCGAGUGCAACGUGCGACUUGAAGGCGGUGUCAACGACGCCGGAACCGGCGAGCUCGCCUACAGUGCUGAGGUGCGGCUGCGCGUGUCGCGGGUACCACUCAACGCGGCGAUGAAGAGGCUUCAACAGCAGGCGGACCGAAUCAACGCGCAGCGCGGGCACGUACAGAAAUUGCAGAAUCGGUACGAUGAGCGGUACUACAACGAGCAGUACAAGCCUUGCACCGUUAUGUGAGGUGGAGAGCAUCUCGUCUGUGUUUUGUGUGCAGAGACGCGCGCACACACCUAAUCGUCAUGGCUCUAGCAAGCAAGAAGACUCUGCGUGUGCUGUAGCAGCACCUUCUCAGCCCCUCUGUUUUCUCUCGUCCCUCCCUCGUCUUGGUGCGGCAGCAUCAUUAUCAUUCUCAUUGUCUUCCUUUUUUUUUCAUGUUGUUAGAUGUAGCCCAGCACCGAAGUAUAGCGUCGCUCUUACGCGUUGGCCACGACGUGACGGUGGAGUCUGCUUCGCCUCUCUGUGCAGCGCCCUGUUUAUGUGUCUCCCCAGACGUUCCCGGCAACGGUGCUGCAUCGUCUUUGCGUUGCUCUCCCGCCGCCGUUUUCUUUUUUUCUCGGUGGCUAUUUCGUUUGUUCCUCUCUAGAGGUGCGCCCUAUGUAGGUGCGCUGUCGGUGCCGUGUCCGUGUACUGCGGUCGUUUUCGCCUGAUACAAUGAUUGGCGCCCCGUGCAUGCACAUGGGAGUCCAAAAGCCCAAGAAGAGAGGCAGCAGUGAAUGCGAUCUCAGCGCAGGCGUACUUUGGUGGCUCUCUCGGUGAAGUGAUGCGAUGCGGCAGAUGGUCAUUGUGGGCAAGAGAGCUCACCAGAACACGAAACGAAAUGCCAGCUGCUUCUUCGAGCUAGUUGCUUGGCCCACGCCAGCGCGG
rnacentral:misc_RNA from 1 species